rnacentral:rRNA from 1 species
AACGAACGCUGGCGGCAUGCCUAACACAUGCAAGACGAACGAGACCUUCGGGUCUAGUGGCGCACGGGUGCGUAACGCGUGGGAAUCUGCCCUUGGGUGCGGAAUAACAGUUAGAAAUGACUGCUAAUACCGCAUAAUGACUCCGGUCCAAAGAUUUAUCGCCCAAGGAUGAGCCCGCGUCGGGUUAGCUAGUUGGUGAGGUAAAAGCUCACCAAGGCGACGAUCCGUAGCUGGUCUGAGAGGAUGAGCAGCCACACUGGGACUGGGAAACGGCGCAGACUCCUACGGGAGGCAGCAGUGGGGAAUAUUGGACAAUGGGCGAAAGGCUGAUCCAGCAAUGCCGCGUGAGUGAUGAAGGCCUUAGGGUUGUAAAGCUCUGUUACCCGGGAUGAUAAUGACAGUACCGGGAGAAUAAGCCCCGGCUAACUCCGUGCCAGCAGCCGCAGUAAAAC